rnacentral:rRNA from 1 species
GAUGAACGCUAGCUACAGGCUUAACACAUGCAAGUCGAGGGGCAGCGGUAUCGAAAGCUUGCUUUCGGUAGCCGGCGACCGGCGCACGGGUGAGUAACGCGUAUCGAACCUGCCUCAUACUCGGGAAUAGCCUUGCGAAAGUAAGAUUAAUGCCCGGUGUUUUCAGAGUCCCGCAUGAGGCUUUGAACAAAGAUUUAUCGGUAUGAGAUGGCGAUGCGUCCCAUUAGCUUGUUGGCGGGGUAACGGCCCACCAAGGCAUCGAUGGGUAGGGGUUCUGAGAGGAAGGUCCCCCACAUUGGAACUGAGACACGGUCCAAACUCCUACGGGAGGCAGCAGUGAGGAAUAUUGAUCAAUGGGCGGAAGCCUGAACCAGCCAAGUAGCGUGCAGGAAGACGCCCCUCCGGGUUGUAAACUGCUUUUAGUUGGGAAUAAAACGGGGCUCGUGAGCCCCCUUGCAUGUACCAUCAGAAAAAGGACCGGCUAAUUCCGUG